GGCACUUUGGCGGAGUGGUUAACGCGAUGCCCUGCUAUUAAUCUGGUAGACAAGGCAUUCCCUUCGGGGGCGUGUGUUCGAAUCACACAGGUGUCG
rnacentral:tRNA from 1 species